rnacentral:rRNA from 1 species
GACGUAGGGGGCCAGCGUUGCUCGGAAUUACUGGGCGUAAAGGGUCCGUAGGCGGUGCGGUAAGUCGGGAGUGAAAUCUCUGGGCUUAACUCAGAGGCUGCUUCCGAAACUGCCGUGCUAGAGUGCGAGAGAGGCAAGUGGAAUUGCGGGUGUAGCGGUGAAAUGCGUAGAUAUCCGCAGGAACAUCCGAGGCGAAAGCGGCUUGCUGGAUCGCAACUGACGCUGAGGGACGAAAGCUAGGGGAGCAAACCGG